rnacentral:rRNA from 1 species
CGCAAGCCUGACGGAGCCAGACCGCGUGGGGGAAGAAGGUUCUUGGAUUGUAAACCCCUUUUCUCAGGGAAGAAGUUCUGACGGUACCUGAGGAAUCAGCCUCGGCUAACUCCGUGCCAGCAGCCGCGGUAAUACGGAGGAGGCAAGCGUUAUCCGGAAUUAUUGGGCGUAAAGCGUUCGUAGGCGGUCGUUCAAGUCUGCUGUCAAAGACCGAGGCUCAACCUCGGGUCGGCAGUGGAAACUGGAUAACUAGAGAUCGGUAGGGGCAGAGGGAAUUCCCAGUGUAGCGGUGAAAUGCGUAGAUAUUGGGAAGAACACCGGUGGCGAAAGCGCUCUGCUAGACCGAAUCUGACGCUGAGGGACGAAAGCUAGGGGAGCG